UACGUAGGGGGCGAGCGUUGUCCGGAAUCAUUGGGCGUAAAGAGCGUGUAGGCGGCCAGACAGGUCAGCUGUGAAAACUCGAGGCUCAACCUCGAGACGUCGGUUGAAACCGUCUGGCUAGAGUCCGGAAGAGGAGAGUGGAAUUCCCGGUGUAGCGGUGAAAUGCGCAGAUAUCGGGAAGAACACCCGUGGCGAAGGCGGCUCUCUGGGACGGUACUGACGCUGAGACGCGAAAGCGUGGGGAGCGAACAGG
rnacentral:rRNA from 1 species